GGGGAUGCCUGGUAUCGACAGGGAGUGACGAUCGUAGAUUGCAGGCCGUGCCGCCCAGUCACGUUAAAGGGGCAAGGCAACAACUGCCAACACCAACAAGUGGGCUAAGGCUCCGGCCUACGCCCUCGCUGCCUAAUUACGGUAGCGCGCCCCCGCCAGUUCGCUCGAUGGCCGGCGGUCAGGCGUCAACAAGUCGAGUGCUCCUCGGGUAACUACCUGCGCGCCUGAGGAAAAGAUCAGCGGGUUUGCCCAAAGGCCGCCUUGCUCGUUGUGUGGCCGCGGGCGAGCGCAAACAACGGGAUAAGCCUGUAGCAUAUCUGCGGUUUAGCUUUCUGGACGGGGGUUCGAUUCCCCCCAUCUCCACCA
rnacentral:tmRNA from 1 species